UAUUCUAUUGAAUAUUGCAUCAGUCUCAACAGCUAAUUGCCACUCAUUAAGCAGCUGCUGUUUGCAUUUCUGGGUCUGCACCUGAUUAUUGGGAGCGUGCCCGAUGCCUCAUUGAAUGAGUAGCAAUUUGCCACCAAAUUUCACCUGAUGGCUGUCACACACACAUGCAUAAAUCGGGAUCCUGGCCAUUACAUUAAAUGCUAUGCUCCACAUAUCCAAUGCUGUCUGGGUUCUUCAUCUUUUGCACCAAACUGUGCGACACUGUAUGCUUGAAUCUUUGCAGGGCUACCGGGACCGACGGGGAAACCAGGCCCAAAAGGGGAGAAGGGAGAAGUUGGCGAGAGGGGGAUGUCUGGACCACCAGGUCUGCUGGGGCCUCCUGGACCCAGGGGAUAUCCAGGCGAAACUGGAAUGCCAGGGCCGCCGGGGCCACCAGGACCACCUGCGUCUCCAAGCCUGCCUUUGACCUUCCAGCAAGGUGUCCUGUAUUCGCUGCAGCCCGGCGCUGAGAAAGAAAAUGGAGAGCCACAGCUGGCCUCCACAGUCAUUGACACUAUCCUGGCCGGCUUGCCGGGACCUCGCGGCGCACCAGGACCCAUUGGACAACCGGGUAAGAGGGUUGAUGGGAUGAAUCCGUAACUAGUUACAAACCAAAUAGUUACUUGUGAGUAAUUACUUUUGAGAAUCA
rnacentral:lncRNA from 1 species